GUGCUUGCCUUGGCAGUACAUUUAUUAAUAUUGGAAUGAUACAGAGAUGAUUAGCAUGGCUCCCGAACAAAGAUGACACACAAAUGCUUGAAACAUUCAAUACUAAU
ensembl:snRNA U6 U6 spliceosomal RNA